UCGAGAAUCAUUCACAAUGGGGGAAACCCUGAUGGUGCGACGCCGCGUGGGGGAAUGAAGGUCUUCGGAUUGUAAACCCCUGUCAUGUGGGAGCAAGUUAAAAAGAUAGUACCACAAGAGGAAGAGACGGCUAACUCUGUGCCAGCAGCCGCGGUAAUACAGAGGUCUCAAGCGUUGUUCGGAAUCACUGGGCGUAAAGCGUGCGUAGGCGGUUUCGUAAGUCGUGUGUGAAAGGCGGGGGCUCAACCCCCGGACUGCACAUGAUACUGCGAGACUAGAGUAAUGGAGGGGGAACCGGAAUUCUCGGUGUAGCAGUGAAAUGCGUAGAUAUCGAGAGGAACACUCGUGGCGAAGGCGGGUUCCUGGACAUUAACUGACGCUGAGGCACGAAGGCCAGGGGAGCGAAAGGG
rnacentral:rRNA from 1 species